AAUUUAUUUUUGUGGGAGAUGGAAGAGUGAGGGUAAUGGUUUGCAGGAGCUUUAUGGGGACAAGAGUAUGCAACCCGUGCUGAAGUCUAGGCAGCACUCCUUGAGAGUGCCAUCAGAUGCUCAGACGCACCCCACAAUGGUCAGCUGGGAAAGAAUUCCAUAAUUCUUGAUCAACACUCAAACAAUUUAAGAAGAUUUUGGAAAAUCUGACUAGUUUUUAAUCUACACUCUGAUUUCUUAUGCUGUUCCCUGCUUAUCAAAGACAGAUACUGUGCAGGUCAAGGCACUCCAAGGAGACAGAGCUUGAAAAAUUCUUUGCAGCAGAUGCCUCAACAAGACCACGCCAUCAGUACAGACGUUGCAUAAGUUUCUGA
rnacentral:lncRNA from 1 species